UGCACCUUAAAUGUUUAUUUAUUUACUUCAUUGAACUUAAAUGUAAUGGCUUUCAUUUUCCUGCAUAUUUCCUACAACUACAAAGGGUUUUGCACCUUAAAUGUUUAUUUAUUUACUGUGGUAUAUGAUUUGUUUGGUAGUAAUUCUCCAUAUGGUAUGUAGAUUCCAUCAUUUCACUUUUUAUUUGAUUGAAACAUUUGUCUAAUCUUUUUAUUUUGUUAGGAUUUCCCCUCUUGUUUGUGACAGGAAACGGACAAGAAUUCUGCAUGUCAAGUGUUUGAAGAUAUUUCCGAGAGACAACCCAUCAACCCAUCAAACCAUCAACCCAAUGUUGUUGAAAAACUUAUUGUAUAUUAACCUCUUAUAAAAUGACUAUUAUGUUUGUAAUAGAGCAUAAAAGUUUUUAAGAAUUCAAAUGAGACAUUGUAAAGGGAAGGGAGUGUCACUACAAGAAAUUAGUCUUAUAGAGAAUAAGAAUAAGAAUGAUGAAUGAAUCGUCUCUCACUAGGCCAUAUGUAUGUGGUAUUGCUAUCAAACUCUUGAGAUUUUAAUGACAAUAACUUGCCUACUACUCAACUAAUGGCGGUAGUAAUAGGAAUGACAAUUUUUAAACUUCUAACAAUUGAUCUUAAACAUUAGGAAUGACAAUUUUUAAACUUUCCCCUCUUGCGAAUCACAAGAGUUAAUGUCCAUGCUAGUUUCACCUCCCUUUUCCAAUUUUGGUUAUUCAUAAAUUUCUCAUUUACGUAUUCUUGUUUUUUUUUUGGGCUGCUUACAGGAUAAAGAUGUGUCUAGUGAUAUAUAGAACGUUAGAAUCGUAUAUGUUUCUGUUGUUAUUUUUCAAGCCACUUAGUAUUGCUUUUGAGACAUUACAAGUACUUUUAUUGGGAAGUCUUUUCAUUUUCAUAAUGGAUAGAUCUAUCUAUAGAUCAUGUAACAUUUUUCCCGUAGAACAUAUAAUAAACACAGGUUGAAGGUUCUUUAGUCUGCAAAUUGUUUUUUGUAGGCUAUUUUGAUUCAUGGUUUUCAAUUGCUCAAUAUAUGGUUCCAUGAUUCAGCAGGGAACAACACAAAUUGCCAAAGGUCCAAACUCCUUGAUAUAUCAAUAGCAGGUUGUUUGCAAACUUUUUUUAUGUAGCCAUGUUAUUUUGUUGUUGUGUUACCAAGUGGUUGGGGGUUCUCAUGUUUUCUGGUCCCGUUAUUCACUUUUUCCUUAUUUGCUUAUAGCUCCCAAAUUUUUUUGCGAUGCAUUUAUUUUGUUGUUUUCUUUCUUCAUUCCUCUAACUUAGUAUUCCCUGUUCUUUAAAGAAGAUGUGUUUUGUGAAGCAUGGCACUGUAGUUUUCUUUAUAUUCUUUUCCCUUUUCCCCAUAUAAAAAUAAAAUUAUUUGAAUGAACAGGUAAAACAUGUUAAGCCAACUAUGUUACCAUUUUUUUCUUGUCCACUUAUAUCUCAUAAAAGAAAAAAAAUUUAGUGCUGCAUUUAUUUUGCUGUUUUCUUUCUUUCUUCCUCUAAGCCAGUAUUUUAUGAUCUUGAAAGAAGAUGUGUUUUGUGAAGCGUGGCACUGUAUAGUUUUCUUAAUUUCUUUUCCUUUCUUUUCUUUUCUCUUUUUUUUUCCUUCCUAUAAACGUAAGGGGGUUUGUUGCUUGGUGCAAUAGUAAAAGCUCUACAGGACCUUUUUACCUAUGCCUAGCCUGCUCAGUUAGUGUCAAUGUCAAGAAAAUGCACCAAUCUCUAUCUUUUUUUCCUUAAAGGUUUAUAUGUUUGUGAUUAUUUUAACUUGACAUGUUUUUAGUUGGUGGGUUGUCUUGGCAAUGUUUAUAUAUUUAUUAAUUGUUUCUAAGACCAUGGCUUUCCAUGAUUCUUGGCAAUCAUUCGUUUUCUAUUGUUAUUGUUGAUGCUGUUGCUAAAGACCAAGGGUACUUCUAAUUGUUGUUGUGGAUUGGAUUUGUCAUUAUUGUAACUUAACAAAUUUGAGUGCGGGUUCAUUCUAUGAAUGGAAAGGCAUUCUCAUAUGGAACUUGGGUUUUCUUCUGGACAUCAUGACGUUAUUGAUGGCACUCUGUCAUUAUGUGCAUAUCUGGUGGCUUCAUGGCAUGAAAUUUCAUCUUGUGGAUGUAGUUCUUUUCCUAAAUAUAUGUGUAAAGUUUCUCACUAUUUUUUUGUAGCAAUAUAUUGACAUUCAUUUGACUUGGACUUUUCAACAUUAUUAUUUCAUGUUUAUUUUGUUUAACACUUCAUAUUAUUGACCAGGCCUUGUUAGGUGCAAUUGUAAAACGUAUCAAAUGAUUUAUUAGGUUGAAGAUAGCUUUAGGCGUCCUUCAUGGAUCACUUCCAGAUGCAACACCUGAGGAGAUUGAAGCAUAUGAGGAUGAAUGUGCUAUUUGUAGGGAACCAAUGGCAAAGACGAAGAGACUGUCUUGUAAACAUCUUUUCCAUCUAACAUGUUUGAGAUCUUGGUAUGAUCUAUGUUGCGUGUUACGAUCUUGGACCCCCCCAUCAUGAGCAGAGAGGAAUUUGAAGCUCGGAAAGCUGAUCUAUGAAGAAAGCAUACAACGGAAUCUAUUGCUGCAAAGGUAUAGUGUUUUAGUUCUUUGAUUUGAGUAAGGAAUAGAUUCUUAAACAAUAUGAUGUUGGAGAUGCAUGUGUAAUUGUUGAAGAUCCUCACACUGAAGAUCUCAGCCAAGAAGUUAGAGGCUUCAUAUUCUCUAGAAUUCUGAUUGGUUUUUGAUGACGUCUGGAAGCAUAUUUGCAAAUCAAGAUCAAGUGUUGAAUUAUUUUUUUUACUG